UGUGUAGGCGGAUUAAUAAGUCAGUGGUGAAAUCCUGCAGCUUAACUGUAGAACUGCCAUUGAUACUGUUGAUCUUGAGUAUAGUUGAGGUAGGCGGAAUGUGUUGUGUAGCGGUGAAAUGCUUAGAUAUAACACAGAACACCGAUUGCGAAGGCAGCUUACUAAACUAUUACUGACGCUGAGGCACGAAAGCGUGGGGAGCGAACAGGAUUAGAUACCCUGGUAGUCC
rnacentral:rRNA from 1 species